CUGCUGCGGACAGAUCAUAUGAAUAUGGCAGUCUAAGAAACCAGGCGUAAGAAUGCAGCCUUCUCCUGAAGAUACUUCAGUAGCAGCGCUUACAACCAGAUUCUCAUCAACAUUAUCCAUGACUCCAGGAUUUCCGGCCUUGCCUACUCCUGCGACCUUGCCGUUUCUGAAUCCUACGUCGCCUUUUACUAUUCCCAGCACAGGAUCUAAAACCACUACGUUGGUAAUCACGUGGUCGAGAGCUCCGUCAGCCUGUGUGGCUCCAGGACUCAUUCC
rnacentral:sRNA from 1 species